UACGGGGGGGGCAAGCGUUGUUCGGAAUUACUGGGCGUAAAGGGCUCGUAGGCGGCCAACUAAGUCGGACGUGAAAUCCCCAGGCUCAACCUGGGAACUGCGUCCGAUACUGGAUGGCUUGAAUCCGGGAGAGGGAUGCAGAAUUCCAGGUGUAGCGGUGAAAUGCGUAGAUAUCUGGAGGAAUACCGGUGGCGAAGGCGGCAUCCUGGACCGGCAUUGACGCUGAGGAGCAAAAGCCAGGGGAGCAAACGGG
rnacentral:rRNA from 1 species